rnacentral:rRNA from 1 species
AGAGUUUGAUCCUGGCUCAGGAUGAACGCUAGCGAUAGGCUUAACACAUGCAAGUCGAGGGGCAGCACGAAUUAGCAAUAGUUUGGUGGCGACCGGCGCACGGGUGCGUAACACGUAUACAACCUACCUUCAAUUGGGGGAUAACCUGGAGAAAUUUGGACUAAUACCCCAUAGUAAACGGAAGAGGCAUCUUUUUUGUUUUAAAGAUUUAUUGAUUGGAGAUGGGUAUGCGUAGGAUUAGCUAGUUGGUAAGGUAACGGCUUACCAAGGCGACGAUCCUUAGGGGUUCUGAGAGGAAGGUCCCCCACACUGGUACUGAGACACGGACCAGACUCCUACGGGAGGCAGCAGUGAGGAAUAUUGGUCAAUGGGCGAGAGCCUGAACCAGCCAAGUAGCGUGCAGGAUGACGGCCUUAUGGGUUGUAAACUGCUUUUGUAAGGGAAGAAUAAGGAGUACGUGUACUUUGAUGACGGUACCUUACGAAUAAGCAUCGGCUAACUCCGUGCCAGCAGCCGCGGUAAUACGGAGGAUGCAAGCGUUAUCCGGAUUUAUUGGGUUUAAAGGGUGCGUAGGCGGUAUUACAAGUCAGGGGUGAAAUCUUGGUGCUUAACAUUAAAAUUGCCUUUGAAACUGUGGUACUUGAGUGUAAAAGAGGUAGGCGGAAUGUGUUGUGUAGCGGUGAAAUGCAUAGAUAUAACACAGAACACCGAUUGCGAAGGCAGCUUACUAUCAUACAACUGACGCUGAUGCACGAAAGCGUGGGGAUCAAACAGGAUUAGAUACCCUGGUAGUCCACGCAGUAAACGAUGAUUACUAGCUGUUAGCGAUAUAUUGUUAGUGGCUAAGCGAAAGCGAUAAGUAAUCCACCUGGGGAGUACGUUCGCAAGAAUGAAACUCAAAGGAAUUGACGGGGGCCCGCACAAGCGGAGGAACAUGUG